rnacentral:misc_RNA from 1 species
CUUGUGUUAUGAUUUUGUUAGGAACUUUGUCUCCCUUUCGUUAUCUUCUCUUUUUUU